ACAUCCAGAGAACUUAGCAGAGAUGCUUUGGUGCCUUCGGGAACUCUGAGACAGGUGCUGCAUGGCUGUCGUCAGCUCGUGUUGUGAAAUGUUGGGUUAAGUCCCGNAACGAGCGCAACCCUUAUCCUUUGUUGCCAGCGAUUCGGUCGGGAACUCAAAGGAGACUGCCGGUGAUAAACCGGAGGAAGGUGGGGAUGACGUCAAGUCAUCAUGGCCCUUACGAGUAGGGCUACACACGUGCUACAAUGGCGCAUACAAAGAGAAGCGACCUCGCGAGAGCAAGCGGACCUCACAAAGUGCGUCGUAGUCCGGAUCGGAGUCUGCAACUCGACUCCGUGAAGUCGGAAUCGCUAGUAAUCGUGGAUCAGAAUGCCACGGUGAAUACGUUCCCGGGCCUUGUACACACCGCCCGUCACACCAUGGGAGUGGGUUGCAAAAGAAGUAGGUAGCUUAACCUUCGGGAGGGCGCUUACCACUUUGUGAUUCAUGACUGGGGUGAAGUCGUAACAAGGUAAGCGUAGUGCU
rnacentral:rRNA from 1 species